ACUGCCUUUAACGUAGUCCUGUGAGGCUGCAAAGGAGACAUGUAAUAGAGUGUAUAUUUAUGCCUUCUUGCGUUGCCACACGUGAGAAGGUUUUUUAU
rfam:Pelosinus fermentans B4 ctg36, whole genome shotgun sequence.